rnacentral:lncRNA from 10 species
CUCGAUCUCCUGACCUCGUGAUCCGCCCGCCUCGGCCUCCCAAAGUGCUGGGAUUACAGGCGUGAGCCACCGCGCCCGGCCGAAAGGUCUUUUAUAGUACACUAAUUCUGCCUCCUAUUCUUAUCAGGGCUUUAUUCUAUUUCUCAGACCAAGUUAUUCAAAUUUAUGUUAGUGUCUUGGAGCCACUGACAUCUGCCAGUUUUAAUCUGCAGAUUAUUAGGGGCUUGGUUCCUUGAACAUCAACUGUAAACAAUUUGUCAUUAGUUCACUCAUCUUUACUGAUAUUGUUUUCUACAUAUUCUGCAUGAACCUUCCAACACAGAGGUUCUAUUCUAAAUAUGUUUUGGGUCACAGACCAUUUUGAGAGUACAAUGAUAGCUAUGAACUCAGUCCACAAGGGAAAAGAAAACUACAUGCACAUAGACAUGCAAAAUUGUGCAUUCAAUUUCACGGAGUUCAUGUAUCCACUGAAAAUUAUUAACAGACCACAGGUUAAGAACCCCUGAUAUACAGUUAAGAUGUUAUGUCAUCUAGCAUCAUAAAAGAUGACAACUCUGAUGAAUGCAAAUAAUUAGGACUGUGAAACAGCAAAAAUUCCAAGCUAACCAUAAUCUCUGAAAAUUUUUUAAAUAAAUAUUUUAUGGAGGCAUAAUUUAUAUAUAAGAAAAUGCACAGGCCAUCAGUGUUCUGUGGGAUGAGUGUCAACAAUCACAUACACCCAAGUAACCAAAUGUGUGGAACAUUGCUCUCACCCCAGAGCUCCUGUGUCCUUUUCCAAUCAAUCCCAGCCCUCCCGUUGCCCACUAGAGGCAACCAUUGUUCCAAUAUCUAUUCUUCUAGAUGAGUUUUGCCUCUUCUUCAACUUCAUAUUAAUGAAAUCAUGUUUGCUUUUGUAUCUGGCUUCUUUCGUUCAACAUCAUGUUUUUGAUGCAUCUAUGCUGUUGUGUGAAUCUGUCUCUUUUUUUAGAGUUGAGCCAUAUUCCAUUGUAUGAAUAUUCCACAAAUUGUUUCUCCAUUCUCCCAUUGAUAAACAUUUGAUUAUUUCAUUUUUUUGCUAUUAUGAAUUUGACUGCUAUGAAGAUUCAUCUGUAAGUGUUUACACAGGCGUAUGUUUUUAUUUCAUUUGGAUGGAUACCUGGAAGGGGAAUUGCUAGGUUAUGGGGUAGAUAUACGUUUAACUUUGCAAGAAAUGACAGACAGUUCUCCAAAGUAUUUGUACCAUUUUAAACUCCCAUCAGCAAUGCAUGACAGUUAUAUUUUGUUUAUUUAUUUAUGUAUUGAUUGAUUUUGAGACAGGGUGUCGCUCUGUCACUCAGGCUGGGGUGCGGUGGCACGAUCAUGGCUCACUGCAGCCUCAACCUCCCAGGCUCAAGCGAUCCUCUCAUCCUUUCAUCUCAGCCUCCUGAGUAGUUGAGACUACAGGCAUGCACCACCACAUCCAGUGUAUUAGUCUGUUCUCACAUUGCUAUAAAGAAAUACCUGAGAAUGGGUACUUUAUAAAGAAAGGAGGUUUCAUUGCCUUACAGUUUGGCAAGCUGUACAGUAAGCAUAGCAGCUUCUGCUUCUGGGGAGGCCUCAGAAAACUUACAAACAUGGUGGAAGGCUAAGGAGAAGCAGGCUUGUCUUACAUGGCCAGGGAAAGAGGAAGAGAGCAAAGGCGGAGGUGCUACACACUUUUAAACAACCAGAUCUCAUAAGAACUUACUCACUAUACAGUACCAAGGGGGGAUGGAUCCAAUUGUGAUUGGAUCACAGGGGCAGCUUCUAAUGGUUUGGCACCAUCCCCCCUUGGUACCAUAUAGUAAUCCCAGGCCCCAUCUCCAACAUGGGUGAUUACAAUCCUAUGAGAUUUGUGGGGACACAGAUCCAAACCAUAUCACCUGGCUAACUUUUUUUCUUAUCUUUUGUAGAGAUGGGGUCUCCGUAUGUUGCUUGAACUCCUGGGCUCAAGCAAUCCGCCCAUUUUGGCUUCCCAAAGUACUGGGAUUACAAGCAUGAAACACCACUUCUGGCCAAGAGUUCUGAUUGCUCCACAUCCUCACCAACAUUUGCUAUUGUCAGUCAUUUUUAUUUUAGUUACUCUUGUGAGUGUGAAGUAGCCACCAUUGUCUUUUAGUGCACCAGACACGAAGGCUCACAUACCAUGACAUCAGCACACUGAAGAACUUCCUGACAAUGGUCUGUCUCUGGCUACCCCUUGUUCUCCCACAGUGAGCACUUCAAAGUCCCACUCCCAAAUUCAGUGACAAAGAGGCAAAAAACUAGGAAUUCUGUAUCUUAGACUCUCCAAGGCUCCAGGACUCUGGACUUCAGCUUCAAAUAGUGGAUGAAGUAGCACAAGCAUACAAAGGGCAUGAGGGAUGGGGGCAGAGAAGGAACAUCUAUUUCAUCUAUUUGGAAGUCUCAAGAUAGUCACUCAAUCAUCUACUGUAGACAUCUCUUGGCCCAAAGCAAACUCUGAAUUCAGUCUCAAAUAAGACUGGGAUAUUUCACCCUACAUUUAAAAAGUAAUCUCAAGUAGAUCAGCAGGCCCCACCCAGCCCGGAUACCUGGUAUGAACAGCUUAGAGGACAGCAAAUGGUCCAGUAAAUUUACUGAGAGUACAGAGUACUCACACUGUAUGCAACCUUGAAUUAGGGGAUUUUGAAAUCAAUGGCACAUAAAAAUCAAUCAACUCUCACUUUAUGAGUGGAUUACAAAAUAGUGUAAAUCCCUGUAAAUAAAAAAAAUUAAUCAAAACUUGCUUAAUUGUAAAGCUGGCAAACUAAGUGACUAAUAAAUAGUGUUUACACAAUUGCCUCAGCUGCACCUCUUUAACUGAUAAAGAGAAAUGCCCACCAUUCUCAAUAAGUAUAUUGUACAGAAAUUGUUUAAGUGCAUUUGAACUCUUGCACCAUAUUUUUAUGACUCAUAUGCUUUUUAAAAAAAACACACGCUUUUGUUUUUAUUUUUAAUCUUUUUGUCAUAUAAUCAUGUUAUCUAAGUGUUCAUUAGGAGGUAGUACUAGAUGCUGAAAGAAACAUACCUCAAAUUCAAUUACUGUACUUUGAAGAAGAAAUCAGAUGUGAUUUUUAAAAAACACUAUGAAGAAUGAAUUUUUAUUAUAUAAUAGCUCAUAUUUAUACAGAGUUCACUAUGUACCAAGCCCUGUUAAAAUCACUCUGCACUUAUUAACUCAUUUAAUCUUUGCAACAAUCCUAUAGGUAUUCUUCUUAUCCCCAUUUUACAGAUGAGGAUACUGAGGCCCAGAAGAUUUGAGUAAUUUGUCCAAAUUCACACAAUCAUCAGUGAAAGGCAGAGGAGAGAUUGAACUCAGGUAGUCUGGUCCCAAAGUCUGAACUACUAUACAUAUUACUAUAUGUUCUCAUGUUUUAUGUAUUUAUCUAUUAUGCCACAGUAGUUGUGGAUUGGUGUGCUAGACAGUAGACAGUAUCCUAUCACCACUUUACAUUUAUUCCUGUGGGGUAGUCUUAAGUCAGGCAACUUCUUCUUCUUUUUUUUUUUUUUUUGAGAUGAAGUCUUCCUCUGUCGCCCAGGCUGGAGUUCAAUGGCACAAUCUCAGCUCACUGCAACCUCCACCUCCUGGGUUCAAGAGAUUCUCCUGCCUCAGCCUCUCGAGUAGCUGGGAAUACAUGUGCCUGCCACCAUGCCCGGCUAAUUUUUGUAUUUUUAGUAUAGACAGGGUUUCACCACGUUGGCCAGGCUGGUCUCAAACUCCUGACCUCAGGUGAUCCGCCCGCUUCAGCCUCCAGAAGUGCUGGGAUUACAGGCUGAGCCACAGCGCCCAGCCUCAACUUCUUUAAGGAAGAUCCUUUCAUCAAGUAUUGCUGCUCUGUACUGUGAGGAAUGCAGUGGGAUAUGGAAACACUGUCAGGUCACACCCCAAGAAGGGAUGCACAAAAUCAGGAUGAUGGGAUCCUUUGUUCCAAAGACUCUCUAGGAAAAAACUUUGCAACACAUAUCACAGGCCAAGGAUAAGUAUCUAGAAUAUAUAAAGAACUCUUGGCCGGGCACAGUGGCUCAUGCCUGUAAUCCCAACACUUUGAGAGGCCGAGGCGGGUGGAUCAUUUGAGGUCAGGAGUUUGAGACCAGCCUGGCCAACAUGAUGAAACCCCAUCUCCACAAAAAAUACAAAAAUUAGCCAGGUGGUAGUGGCGUGUGCCUGUAAUCCCAGCUACUCAGGAGGUUGAGGUGGAAGAAUCCCUUGAGCUUGAGAGGUGGAGGUUGCCAUGAGCCGAGAUCGGGCCACUGCACUCCAGGCUGGGCAAAGGAAUGAGACCGUCUCAAAAAACAAAACAAAACAAAACAAAACAAAACAAAACAAAACUCCUGCAAAUCAACAUAUAGAAGAUUAAACAAAAGAAGAAAAUGGGCAUAGGAUAUGGGCAGGUAAUCCACUUAAGAGCAAAUACAAAUGGCCAGUAACGAAGGCAAAAAUUUGCUCAAUGUCAUUGGAAAUGAAUAUUAAGACAUCCAGAAACUACUUAUUAUCCAUGAUAAUGCCAAUUUUUAAAAAUUUGUCAGGCCGGGCGCAGUAGCUCACACCUGUAAUCCCAGCACUUUGGGAGGCUGAAGAGGGCAGAUCACCUGAGGUCAGGAGCUCAAG